CUUCUUUACAAGGUGAAACUUGCGUUGUGAACAAAAAUGGGACACGACACACGAACCAUGAACAAUACUUUAAUUACACAAAUUAGCCCACAUGCUAUAAUGUAUGUAUAAACUAUCAAACAAUGCCCCCAUUCAUUAUUUCACUUCUACUGAUCAUCCUGAGAAAUGGCUGCCUCAUGGUAUAUAAUUUUGUUCAGUUCAAUAACAAGGCCGUCAGAGGUUGUACAACACCUAUACAAUGCAAACCAGAAAAUCUUACUCUCGACUUUCUGUUACCUCUAAUGCUAAGCUCAUUCAUUUAUACCAUCAACCAAAUCAAACACUUUUUGCAAGCCUCGUUUGAACUGGCUCUUUGAGGUGUUCAACAAAUGUGCAAUGAAUGCGUGCUAAUAAAGUGCAACCAUCAUUUGAAAACAUUGAGUAAGAAGAAACCAGUUGGCGACACUGUGACAGACUGUAAUUAGAAAGUGAACUGCUUUCAAAACACAAUCCCCGAUGUGUCAAACAAGACCACACAGCAUACAGAGCACAUGAGACGCGAAAAUAGCCUGGUCACCUGACUACACUACAUCUAAUGGAAGACAGCACUCGUUUGAAAGCCAACGUUAAACAUGUGCAUAUAGACAUGCUUCCCACACCUAUAUCACAUGUCUGUCAGAUUUGUUCGUUCGUGCUCCUUUUUUGCGGCUUGAAGCAAUGCCUCCACCGCGGUCACAGCACUCUUAAAGUCGGCGCAUGCAGCAGCAUUGCAGUGAUGCUUUCCCAUUGGUUGCCCGCAUAGUGCCAUGAGUGCCCACAGGGUAUUUAAGUAGGCUCAAUGUUAUGUAGAUUAUUAAAAUUUCCGGCACGUGCAGCCAUAUAAACAAUUGCUCGUGUUGCACGCAACUGCUGGCUAUGACCACAUACUCCAAGAAAAUAGUUUUUUUUUUGAUAGUGCGGCCUGUAGUCUCUUAAAGGUACCGACAACUGCCCAGAACAUGGAAAUGAGAUGACUGCACGGAUGGAAUGAUUGUCUCUCGUAGCGACUCAAACCAUAUCCUAUUUUUUCCGUGAGAAGUGUAUUUAUAAAUUUAUUGCUUCAUUGAAAAUCGUAAAAAAUAGCCUGUGGCACCCCUGGUGGCAAAAACCUAAAUUAUUCUAUGUACCCUGUAACGUGGCCUUAGAUUAGUGUAUGCUGUCAACAAUUUUCUUGUUAGUAUUCAAAUAUUGUCUGCUUCUCAAUAGUAAUAGAUAUUACUCCAUAAAGAACUAGGUACAUACUAUAGGCCUGCGUUAGUAGUACGCAAUAAAGUAGCACUGCCUUUGCAUGACAUAAUUAUCUCAUGCUCGUCAGUGCGUCUUGGGCAACUUUUCUGCGUGCUAAUUAAGCUGUACACACAGUUUCCAGGGCGCUAAUAUAUUAGAGUGAUGUGGUUUUUUUCUACUUACACUUUGUCUUAGAAACGGCAUGUACUGCUACUCGGCACAGCCGCGCAUUAUGCGCAGUGAUGUUUUCGGGGACUUGGCUUGACUUGUGGGGCGAGAGAUAGUAACGACAAUGGGACAAGCCAUCCACGAUACAGGCGCAACAACCUUUGGAGCAGGUGCAUGCAAUAUGGUACAAAUACAGGGAAGCUGUAUGAAGCCACAUCGUCUCAUUUACCUGGAAAGCACGGUCUGUCACUGUGGUGUGGACCAGUGCCGUCCCACCUAAGAGGAACCUACAACACGAGCAGGAGUUGGCAGACUAAACACCGGGAACAUUAUUACAGUGGGACCGUUUGGUCCUCUAGAUUAAAAAAGAAAAGUGAAGAACCGAACUGGAGGUGCAUAAAACCUGACAAAAUAAAUUUAUGCUCAAUGUCGUCAU
rnacentral:lncRNA from 1 species